GACGUUGUCGUCACCUUCAGCCCAUCUCUCUUCCUAUUCCAUGCUGAAGGCGACUUUUCUGAACUGCAGAGAGAGAUGAUGAAAAUCGAAACUACAGAAGUGGCAGUGAAGAUGGAGGGGAAGAAAAGGCUAUCAGAGAAAAUGGAUGGAAUCUAUACCAUAGACUAAAAGGCUGAAAUUGCAUGUUGUAGCUGAGAAAGUCCUGCCAGAGCCUCUGCAUAGCUGAAGGGAUAGAUGGUAGCAGAUAUGAAGAUGUGCUGCUUGGAACCCUGCUGCCUGGCCGG